rnacentral:rRNA from 1 species
UACGUAGGGUGCGAGCGUUAAUCGGAAUUACUGGGCGUAAAGCGUGCGUAGGCGGUUUGCCGUGUCCUGUGUGAAAGCCCCGGGCUCAACCUGGGAACUGCAUCCAAAACUGGCAAGCUAGAGUAGGGCAGAGGGUGGUGGAAUUUCCUGUGUAGCGGUGAAAUGCGUAGAUAUAGGAAGGAACACCAGUGGCGAAGGCGACCACCUGGCUCGAUACUGACACUGAGGUGCGAAAGCGUGGGGAGCAAACAGG